AAUAAAAAAACUACAAAAUUCAAUCCACCGUCUUUGGGCCCGGUCUCCUUCGGCAUACGUUGUACAACGGCAAAGCCCCCCUUCUUCCUCCAAACCCGUUCCCACUCUUCGAGCUUCCCUUUAAACAAUCCCUGAAACGCGUUUCACUUAACAGUUAUUGAAGAGCUAAAAACAUCUUAAUACUGAAGAAGGAUGCCGCAUAGAACUCGGCCAAUGACUGCGCUCUUGGUGUUUACUGGACUGAAUAUUGCACUAGUUUCAACCAUUACUCCAGUCUAUGAUUUCGUCUGCUUCCUUCCGUAUUGGGAAAGAAGGAGAGAACGGCAUCAUCAGGAACGUGAGGCUACCAUAGCAAAUGGCCUUACAUCAAGAUAGAAAUAUCUAAACGUCUUCAGUUACAGGUUUUACGCUUUUCUAAUGUUUAAUGCAGUUUGAGGUGUGUUCUAUUUAUCUAAGAUUUUACUAAACAGAGAUAAGAAGGUAUAUGAUUCUUUAGGAUGCCUACUUAUGGAUGUUAUCUCCGUAUAUCUCAUCUUCUAAUUUUGAAAUAUGUUUGGAUACAACCUCAAAGAUUUGUAGGACAUCACAGUGAGCAUACAAUGGAAUGCUCUAUACCAUAUAUGCUCUAUGCAAACUGUAACAUAUAAGUCCUUGGGCUUUACAGAUCUGGUUUCUCUUGCUUUACAUACUGAUUUCUGAACUCA